rnacentral:rRNA from 1 species
GAAAUAGCUACCACUUCUACGGAGGGCAGCAGGCGCGCAAAUUGCCCAAUGUCAAAAAAAAACGAUGAGGCAGCGAAAAGAAAUAGAGCCGACAGUGCUUCAUGCAUUGUCGUUUUCAAUGGGGGAUAUUUAAACCCAUCCAAAAUCGAGUAACUAUUGGAGGACAAGUCUGGUGCCAGCACCCGCGGUAAUUCCAGCUCCAAAAGCGUAUAUUAAUGCUGUUGCUGUUAAAGGGUUCGUAGUUGAAUUGUGGGCCUUUGAGGCGCUAUGGUUUGUCCCGUCCACCUCGGAUUUGGUGACCCAUACCCUUGAGGUCCGUGAACACUCAGAAACAAGAAACACGGGAGCGGUUCCUUCCUGAAUUUCGCAUGUCAUGCAUGCCAGGGGGCGUCCGUGAUUUUUACUGUGACUAAAAAAGUGUGACCAAAGCAGUCAUUCGACUUGAAUUA